AAUCUGUCUUAGUGGCGGACGGGUGAGUAACGCGUGGGCAACCUGCCCUGUACCGGGGGAUAACACUUAGAAAUAGGUGCUAAUACCGCAUAAUAGGGAAUACCGCAUGGUAAUCCUUUGAAAACUCCGGUGGUACAGGAUGGGCCCGCGUCUGAUUAGCCAGUUGGCGGGGUAACGGCCCACCAAAGCGACGAUCAGCAGCCGGCCUGAGAGGGUGGACGGCCACACUGGGACUGAGACACGGCCCAAACUCCUACGGAAGGCAGCAG
rnacentral:rRNA from 1 species